GAUGAACGCUGGCGGCGUGCCUAAUACAUGCAAGUCGAGCGAACGGACGAGAAGCUUGCUUUUCCGAUGUUAGCGGCGGACGGGUGAGUAACACGUGGAUAACCUACCUAUAAGACUGGGAUAACUUCGGGAAACCGGAGCUAAUAUCGGAUAAUAUUUUGAACCGCAUGGUUCAAAAGUGAAAGACGGUCUUGCUGUCACUUAUAGAUGGAUCCGCGCUGCAUUAGCUAGUUGGUAAGGUAACGGCUUACCAAGGCAACGAUGCAUAGCCGACCUGAGAGGGUGAUCGGCCACACUGGAACUGAGACACGGUCCAGACUCCUACGGGAGGCAGCAGUAGGGAAUCUUCCGGAAUGGGCGAAAGCCUGACGGAGCAACGCCGCGUGAGUGAUGAAGGUCUUCGGAUCGUAAAACUCUGUUAUUAGGGAAGAACAUAUGUGUAAGUAACUGUGCACAUCUUGACGGUACCUAAUCAGAAAGCCACGGCUAACUACGUG
rnacentral:rRNA from 1 species